CCAACGUGGCGUGAAAUAAGAAAAGUUUUUUUUUCAUUCUCUUGUUAGCGAAGAGAUAAAAACAAAACUGGAAAAGAAUACUGGAAUAUGGAAGAAUUCCUGUGAUGCCGUACGACAACCAUACGAUAUACAAGUGUAUGAUGAUUUUGUUAUCAAAGAAAAUACUGGGAUAUUACGAUGUCAUAUACCGAGUUUU